rnacentral:rRNA from 1 species
GACGAACGCUGGCGGCGUGCUUAACACAUGCAAGUCGAACGGAAAGGCCCUGCUUUUGUGGGGUGCUCGAGUGGCGAACGGGUGAGUAACACGUGAGUAACCUGCACUUGACUUUGGGAUAACUUCAGGAAACUGGGGCUCAUACCGGAUAGGAGCUCCUGCUGCAUGGUGGGGGUUGGAAAGUUUCGGCGGUUGGGGAUGGACUCGCGGCUUAUCAGCUUGUUGGUGGGGUAGUGGCUUACCAAGGCUUUGACGGGUAGCCGGCCUGAGAGGGUGACCGGCCACAGUGAGACUGAGAUACGGCCCAGACUCCUACGGGAGGCAGCAGUGGGGAAUAUUGCACAAUGGGCGGAAGCCUGAUGCAGCAACGCCGCGGGCGGGAUGACGGCCUUCGGGUUGUAAACCGCUUUCGCCUGUGACGAAGCGUGAGUGACGGUAAUGGGUAAAGAAGCACCGGCUAACUACGUG